AGUUGGCUUAGCUGGCCAGUUGGCCUAAGAACUCGUCACCAAGUGCUCGAGUCUUUUCAUUAACAACUUGAUCAUGACUAGCAUCGGUAAGGCCGAGAGCCUGCUUAGAAUUCUGGGGGAGAUCACAAACCUGAUUGGGGUUUUAAAAUGCCUUCGCCUGGCCGCAGAUUUAUAUAUUUCGGGGUUUCUAUUCUUGACUCUUGGUAGUGUGUAAGUGAAUUUGCAUAAAUAUGCAUGCAUAUUUGAAUGGCUUCGGAUUUCACUGGUCGGGCAGCCCCAUAAACCAGGGGGCCGCAUUUUUACCACCCAUCUAAUCAGAGAUAUGAGUCAAGUUUGAGUCUAAAAAUAUGCAUCACAAACUAAUCAAGAUCUUUUGGAGACUCAAAAAAGAAUA